CAGGGUCUCUGGGUUCUUGGAGCUGGAGGGUGUUCGGGAGGGGUGAGUGCCCUGGACGACGUGGAGGGAGUCCAGUGUCGCGCGUGGCGUGCCCUUCGGGGCGCCAAGGCGGAGAGGAGGAAGGCAAUCCUCCAGACCCCAGCCCGGGGCCGGGGCCGGCGCAGACCUGGAUUCCGAGGUGAGAGGCAGGGAAGGGGCUGGGAGCUGCAGUGAGAGCCUCUGUCCGCCAGACGGCGCCAGCGCGCCCGCCGAGCCCCUCUGCAGCUCCCUGGCCCCGUCUCCAGCCUCCCAAGACCAAGACGAUGGCAGAGGCAUCCACCGACCCGCGGGGAGGUGGCCGGAGCCCUCUGCGUGGGUACACGGAGCCUCUGAGCCCGCGGGGCCGGCCCUUUGCCCCACGCCAGGGAGGGGACGUCGUUCCGCCACCCCGGGUGGAAGGCUCUUCCUGCCUGGUCGAGCGAGGUGCCCCGUGCUUGGAGUUGGACCGCUGACGGAGGGCGGAGGGUUCUUGGCUUGGUUGGAGAGCCCCCUCUGGCCCAGAGACGGCUGGAUUGCCUCUUGGGUGCGCUGCUUUCUCAAACCGGCCUGGCAGGGGGAGGCUUCUGGAAGGCAGGGCUUCUGCGGGGCGGGGGGGCGGGGGGCGGGGGUAGGGCGUGCGUCCAAGCGGUGUGAUCUGGGGUGGGGGGUGGGGGCAGGCUGUGUUCCUUGCGGGGCUCUUUCUCUUCGGAGCCUCCUCCUUCCCCCCUUCUUCCCUCAGGCCCUGAGCCUAGGGACACCCUGUGCGGGCCCCGUUUGAGAAGGAACUUCGGAAAACCCGGAGGUGGGGGGGGUGCUGGGGGGGGUGGAAUAAGGGCUGCAGGGUCCGGUGAUGGCAAGCAGGUGCUGAUGGUCUGGGGAUCAAGGCAGCGGAGUCAAAGCCAAAGCCAAAGCCGGCUUUGGGGGCUGAAAGCAGGGUGUGGCUUGAGAUCAGGCAGUGGCGGGGUGGUGCUGGCGGCCGCAAGUGCCCUGAACAGCUCUGAGGUGGUCGUAGCCCCGGCCUGGAGGGCGUGUCCGUGGGAGAGGAUGAACCACUCCUGAUGCUGGCCCGUGCCCCAGGCUGGCGCAGCUGGGGGAAGCGAGAGGAAGGGCAGAGCGUGGCUCUUGGAGGGCAUGUGGGCCAGCGGGCGCCAGAGCCCCCGCAGAGCCCCUCUGCCGCUGCCUAGCUGCCCCUUCAGCUCCAAGGUAAGGGGGAGCGAUGGGUCGGGGGCGCCCUACGAGGCUGCCCAGGGUUUGGGCUUGGGGACAGGGCCCCUGUGGCCCCUUGGCGAUGUGCCCUCCCUCCCAGAGAGGACCUAGUUCUGCCAUCCCCUCGAUGGUGCCCGCAGCAGCACAGCCAGGGGCCCAAUCGGCAGGCGGUUUGGCCGGCGGUCUGGGUCCUGGUGCCCUUGGCGUGUUUGCAGGCGUAGUUCGGGACCCAGGAACGCCUGGCUUGCAUCUGGGCGUGCAGCCUGCUCGAAGCAGGCUGGCGUGGAUUUUCUCUCCUGGAAUGGCGGGCUUCUGGAAAGCUGAGCUUGUAAUCUUGAAUGCCCUCUGCCAAGCAGGGCCCUGCUGAUAGCCUUUCUCUCCCAAUACCUCCCCGACCUUUUUCAUCCCUCGCGCCCAUACCCUUUCCUGCUUUCCAGCCCUUCCCUGGAAACGGAGCCUCUGUCCACCCAUCUGGAUCCCGGUUGGUCCUUUCUUUCUAGCGCGGUCCCAGGGUUGAAGGACGCUCACCGCUCCCCUGUCUUUGCACAUGACUUCCCAAUCGGGCAGACGAGGUGAGAGAGGGGGCUGGGUGUCGGGUGAGUUGAGUGCCCUGGCAGAAUGGGAGCUCCUCCUCGCCCUGCCCAUAGAUAGGGCCUUGCCGUGGGCUGAGAGGGAGAGGAGGAAGGACCGAGUGCCGGCUCCUGCCCAAGUUGGCGGCAGAGCAGGGAUCUGCUCUGGGGAGGCAGAAGCAGGGCUGCGUGUUCUUUUCGACCUGAUGGCUGCCAGACAGAGCCAGGCAACCAGGAGAGCCGCUGGGCAGCCCCCUGGCUGCGCCUUCGGGCUCAGCGAUGGGCUUGGGGAGGG
rnacentral:lncRNA from 9 species